GACGUAGGGGGCCAGCGUUGCUCGGAAUUACUGGGCGUAAAGGGUUCGUAGGCGGUGCGGCAAGUCGGAAGUGAAAUCCCUGGGCUUAACUCAGGGGCUGCUCCCGAAACUGCCGUGCUUGAGUGCGGGAGAGGCCAGUGGAAUUGCAGGUGUAGCGGUGAAAUGCGUAGAUAUCUGCAGGAACACCCGUGGCGAAGGCGGCUGGCUGGACCGCAACUGACGCUGAGGAACGAAAGCUAGGGGAG
rnacentral:rRNA from 1 species